UAGGCUUAAUACGUAGCUGUUGUUUUCGUUCCGAAAAAUAUUUAUUUCAGAUUUUUGUUUAUUUACAAUUAAUGUUUAUAUUAUUGUGCAGUGAGCAUGACGAAAGUUAAUUACUGAACAUUACUGAGUUUUACAAACUUUGAAAAUAGUGGCAUAGAUAAGAGUGUCAACUGCACUGGAAUGUAUCCGAGGCAACCAAAAUAGCAUAACAUGUAUGAACAAAGUAUUUGAUGUAAGUUAAGUAAGGAAACAAUCUACUGUCAAAACUAUAAAUGACGAGCUGAAAAAUAAGGAAAUGUUUUCUAUUGGAAGUAUCUGUGUUUUUGGGAUCUAAAUAUUAGAAAGCAGACAACAGAAGAGCCUUAAUAGAAUGGACGAAUAUUGCUAGCCAAAGAGCAUGUUUUCUUGGAAAAUAUAGAGAAAAUCAUAAUAGUGUAUUUACAAGUUAUAUUUGUGAAUGAAACAUGGAUAUAUGCGAAAGGAAACAAAUCAAGUUCUUCUGAGGACAAGAAUGUUAAAAGCGUACGUAA